CCCAACUUGCCCAGACUUGCUAGCUUUUGGGGUUGCUGAAAGCUGUGCUGACAGCUCUUAGCUGGGUUGUGAGGAGAUGCAGAUUUAUGCCUUUAAUUCUGGUACAGCUGGUAAAUAUUUUAUGUUCUCCCGACCACCACCAUCUACUUUGGACACCUUUCUAGGAAGUGCUUUUGUGAAUGGCUCGGCUGGCAGAAUUUUUCAUGGAAAGAGCUAAUGUUCAAUACAUUUGUAUGUUGAUGGUGCUUCUCAUCAAAAACCUGUAUCCAUAACAGAGAUCUGAGAAUGGAUAAAGUACAAGACAAGAAAACGAAGUGGAAUAGAUAAAUGAUGGAAGAGUAUUUUGGAAAGAAACUACUGAGAAAGCCAUGCAGGUGCUGCUGGGUUUUAUUUGUUUAUUUAUUAUAAGUUAAAGAUUUAUUUUAAAUUUUGUAAUCAGAGUUGCUUCAUUUAGAUGCACAGCUAUGAAAAUUAAAAAAAAAAAAAAGAAAAAGAAAAGAAAAAGAAAAAAAAAGAAAGAAAACCAAUGUCCUAAAUAAGUUCUUAUGUUUCUUUUUUCUUCUGAGGUCAAGUUCAUUAUUGUAACUUUGUGAGUGUUUUUCAUAGUGCCAUUGCCAAAUGACAUUAAAAUUACUAAUACAGAAGUAGAUUAAGAGAACAUGAUUAAGAUUGCAAAGUCAGGAAAAAUCAUAAUUAAGGUUGCCUGUGCAAUUUUAACUCAGUUCCUGUGUGGAUAUCCAUCCUGAUAAGAGGGUUUAAUUACGUAGCCAUGGUCUUUUUCUUUUCUUUUUUUCCUCAGGACACUUCCCAAUCACUGAGCACCAUUUUACUGACUCUUCUCAAAGUGGUUAUAUUUUCAUGGGUAUUUAUUUUUUUAUUAUUAUUUUUUAUUUUUAUUUUUUUAUUCAGAGGGCAGAGGAGAAAUAAUAAGAUUCUUACACUUAAGAAUCGGGAUGUUAAAGUGCUGACAUUACGAUUUCACCAUAUUGUAACUUCUGUAGAACAUAAGUUUCUUAACUGUAACAAAAUGCCCAACUAGUGCUUUUGGGAGGGAGCCAACACUGUUCCCUGUCUUCCUCAGUCCCACAGAAAUCAAAUUCAAGUCCCACUAUCUGUGUGUGUGUGUAUAUAUAAUUUAUAUGUAUAAAUAAAAGCAUCGUGAAGCAGAAGUGUGAAUGAAACUGUAAAUAUGACUUUAUGGUGGAAACUUUGGGCAGUGGUUUCAUUGUUUCUCAUUUCAACCUUUUUGAAAAUGCUGCAAAGGAAUCGAGAAGUAAAUGGAAAGUUUCUGAAUUUAUUUUCCUUACUGGAACUCCUUAGAUUAUGUCAUUUUAAAAACUGUGACACCGAGCUACAAACGUGGUGAACGGUCUGGAGGGAAAAACAUAUGAGGAGUAGCUGAGGUCCACUGGUCAGUUUGUUCAGCUAAGAGGAGGCUGAGGGAAGGCCUCAUUGUGGCUUACAGUUGGACUCAGUGAUCCUUAUGGGUCCCUUCCAAUUCAGGAUGUUCCAAUUCAGAUGACUCUGUGAUUCUGUUAUUUUUAGUGUUGCUUUUCUUUGUGUACUGUGGGUUGGACCCCAUUCAUUUUUUUUUUCCUCAUUAUACAAGAACUCCAGCAUAAUUCUAAAAAGGCUGGUAAGAAGUUCACAAAUAAGGAAUUGAUUUUAAAUACAAUUUUUUUAAAACAUCUGCUUGAUUCUCAGUGUAGUUUUGUAUUUUGCAAAAUUAAGAUAUUAUCACUUAAGUUGAUUAUGAAAACUCUAAAAGCAGAUAAAAUUAGGAAGAACUUAACCAGAAAGAAUGGAAAUCUACCCUACUGGUACCAGUUUGGCAUUCACAAGUUGAUUUUUAUAAAUCUUCAGUUGACCUUUUUGACAGGAGCCUUUUGAAGUUCAGUGACAAUGAAUAUGAAGCUCUGUACCUGGAACUGAGGAACUGCUGUUAAAGCAUGGGCUGUGGCUUGCCAGGCUGGGGAGCAGCUCUGAUCAAAGCAGCCUAGUGGUCUUGCUGGACCAGUGUGUCUGAUCAUGUUUCUUCUUGUACCACAUCUGCCUUUUGAAGAAGGGAGGGGGGGAAGCCACAUGUUUUCAGGCUGUGGAACUACUAAAGUGUCUGAAUAAAGGAAUUAUUGGUAAAAAAUCUUUCAGAAAUAAUAUUGUGGAAGAAACUACUACUGAAAAACAAUGAGGUUUCUGCUCAAGGUUUUCUAGUCCUGACAUAACAUGGUACUGUUCAUUAGCCUGACGGUUUCUGUAUCAUGCUGGUUUGUGUCUGGCCAAGAAGGUGCAUGUAUAAAGAUUGCUUCUACAAGUCUGUAUCUGUCUGCAGAGCUGAACCUCAAUUAUCAUAUCUGACAAAGAAUAAGCUGUUAUUAUAGUAAAAAUUACAUGGGAGGUCUUUAAAAUAAGCCUUCUCCUUGCUGACUGACAGGAGAGGCUGAGUGGCUUUAACAUAGUGCACCAAAGUGUAUUCCUGAAUUGGUUUCACCUUUAUUUCAGAGACACGAAAAGGAUGAUCAUUUAAUAAUUCAUAUAAGCGUUGUCACGAUCAAGGGAAGAAUGCGAUUCAUUUAAAUUUGGAAGAGAAUCUGAGUGACUGCUUUGCAUCAGUAAACUUCAGAGUGCUCUGUAAUUCAUCGUGCUCAACAGGAAGAAAAACAAGUUGAAGAAAGUGAAUAUAUAAUGCUGUUAGAACAGUUUUGAAUUUAGCUGAACUUUACUCUUCAGUUCACUGACUGGUGUGACAUUAAGAACACAAGAAAGGUCAGUUAAAUGGCAAUAUCAAAAAGUUUCUUAAAUUACAAGAUGGCUCUUGCCUGUGUCCAGGCUACUGGUGAAUCCUUAGCUAAUUAUCAUGGUAUGCCAAUAGACAAACACUCUACUCUAGAUGUACAAAUAUGUUCUUUCAAUGUUAAAAUUAUUUGCAGUGGUAGAGCAACAUUUCCCAAACUUCCACCAUGAUCAAACAGAAAGCAGAUUUUGAAAAGGUAUUAUUUAACGAUUUCUUUUUUUAAGUUUUGAAAGAUGGAGGCUUUGAUUUCUGUAAAGCUGUUUAUGGUACUCCUUAAGAUUUGACCUCUACCUUAAUGCUAUUAUAAGCGGGAAUAUAAUUAAUAUUUCUUUCCAGCAUAGGGCCAACGAGUCAGUAGUUCCUCAGGAGAGGAGAGCAUUAUACGUAUGCCAAGUAGGAGCACCACAUUUUGGGGUCCUGUUUGUACCAACCUGGGUUAAAGUUUGUUAUACAAGGGGGCUGUAAGCAAAAUCUUGAAAGUGCAGAAAUAAAAGACUGUUUGAUUUACUUAUGUAUGACCUACAAGAUUUUAAUCUUAAUGGAUCUCCUUCACAAACCGUAGCCAGUGUGGCAUAUAUUCAUUCACUAACCCAACUCUUCUUCAUGUAAAUGGUGUUGCAAACUCUUGUGAGUCUGGCAAAAUUCCAGCAUUAGCAAAAUGGUAUAGAAGCACUUUCACUCUUUGAAGAUCAAACAGUAAAGAAUAAAUGAGUCUUUCUCAAAUGCCC
ensembl:lncRNA